rnacentral:rRNA from 1 species
GAUGAACGCUAGCGGCAGGCUUAACACAUGCAAGUCGAGGGGUAGAGUUAGCUUGCUAACUUGAGACCGGCGCACGGGUGCGUAACGCGUAUGCAAUCUACCUUGUACAGAGGGAUAGCCCAGAGAAAUUUGGAUUAAUACCUCAUAGUAUUAUUGAAUGGCAUCAUUUGAUUAUUAAAGUUCCAACGGUACAAGAUGAGCAUGCGUCCCAUUAGCUAGAUGGUAAGGUAACGGCUUACCAUGGCAACGAUGGGUAGGGGUCCUGAGAGGGAGAUCCCCCAGACUGGUACUGAGACACUGACCAGACUCCUACGGGAGGCAGCAGUGAGGAAUAUUGGUCAAUGGGCGCAAGCCUGAACCAGCCAUGCCGCGUGCAGGAAGACGGUCCUAUGGAUUGUAAACUGCUUUUACACGGGAAGAAACACUGCUACGUGUAGCAGCUUGACGGUACCGUAAGAAUAAGCAUCGGCUAACUCCGUGCCAGCCGCCGCGGUAAGAC